AACGAACGCUGGCGGCAUGCCUAACACAUGCAAGUCGAACGAGACCUUCGGGUCUAGUGGCGCACGGGUGCGUAACGCGUGGGAACCUGCCCUUAGGUUCGGAAUAACUCCCCGAAAGGGGUGCUAAUACCGGAUAAUGUCUUCGGACCAAAGAUUUAUCGCCUUUGGAUGGGCCCGCGUUGGAUUAGCUAGUUGGUAGGGUAAAAGCCUACCAAGGCUACGAUCCAUAGCUGGUCUGAGAGGAUGAGCAGCCACACUGGGACUGAGACACGGCCCAGACUCCUACGGGAGGCAGCAGUGGGGAAUAUUGGACAAUGGGCGAAAGCAUGAUCCAGCAAUGCCGCGUGAGUGAUGAAGGCCUUAGGGUUGUAAAGCUCUUUUACCCGGGAUGAUAAUGACAGUACCGGGAGAAUAAGCUCCGGCUAACUCCGUG
rnacentral:rRNA from 1 species